CCAAUAUACACCUCAACCAGAGACAUUGACCCAAAUACCCCUUAACCAGAGACAUUGACCAAUAUACACCUUAACUCAAAUACACCUUCAUAUAUUCUAGAUUCAUUACAAAUAAAAGGGAAUCAUUUCAAGCCCUUUUUUUCAGUCUUGAUGAUUAGGGCUUAUAGUUCAUGGAAAUCAAAAAUCCAGUAUCUCAAAAUAUUAGAAUAAAUAAUUAAUAAUACAGAAAUGUCUACCUGAGAAGAGCUUUGUUUCUAGGUAUUCGACUGAACAGGCUUUCUCUGUGUUAGAUUUUGUCCAAGUUUGAUCCAUGAACAAAAUAAAUGCAACCAGAAGUCUGGGGAGAGCCAUCUUUAUUCAGCAUGAGUCUAUGAUGUUGUCCUUCCAUUUCUCAUUUCUAUCUCUUCCAUAAUUACAGAGGCAACACAGUGUUUUAUGCCGGGAUACAUAGGAGGUGGCCAGUGGUCAUAACCAACCAGUACACAUUCUAAUACCCUCCAAUAAGAAAGGUUUAUCUUACAACUGACCCUUGUAUGGUAUGUUCCAACCUAUGGUCAAUGGACCUAUCCAUAUAGCCUAUGUCAGUCACAUGGGCAACUCCUAGCAGGAGGAAUGGACAGAAUGUAUGGACAGGAUGUGUGGGGCCCAUCAGUAACAGGCAACACGUCCUGUCUAUGGUCCUUUCAGAGUUAGUCAGCACAUCUGUGUUGUGCUAAGUUUCUCAUGCUCAUUUCCUAUCAUCUGACUCAAAGGCAGUCCUAUUGAAACUGAUCCCAAUCUAGAUUUAAAAAAUCGCUUGGAUGUCCCACAAAGCAUAAAAUACUCACCAUCAAAUUUACACAGUAAACAGACGACAAAAGAAUGUGAUGCCAGGAAAAAUGAGAUUUUAAAAGAGGUAUGCUCCUUUUGGAUAUUACACACCUCUUUAUGGAAUGCGUUGCUGAGUAGCCUUAAAUCUGAUGUUCUGGUGCCCUUAGGGAAAUUAAAGUGUUUAAUAAAUGACACGUGUUUGUUAAUUGUGAUUUCUUUGUUUAAUGUUUGUGUAUUUAAAAUGUUAUUUUGUUAUGUAUUAUAUAUUUUGCUU
ensembl:lncRNA